CUCAGUGGCAACUGAAGUUGAGAUCCCGCCUCCGCCGUCAAAAGGGACCAACUGAAAGCUGCCUGCGUGAGACCCCGCUGAGAUGAAGAAACUGAAGUUCAGAGUGGUGAAGAAAGCACACCAUGUGCAUUGCAGACCCUGUCUGAUGCAAGUGACAGAAAUCCUGACUCAAACUGGUUUUUGCUGAGAAAGGAACUUACUGGCUCAGGAACUGAACACUCCAGGCACAUCUUGAUCUGGAGACCCACAGGCACUGGAAGAAGCAGCUUUACACCCCGCCAUGGCUUUGUGCCUGGGCUCAGCAAGUGGUUGUCUGCAGCUCCCUGUUCAUAUCUGGCUCAGGAGAAAAAGGCUCUCUGGGGACAUGAGACAAAGGUCCCAAGACUCACUCUAAUUGGACAUUAUCACAUAAUGAUAACAUGUCACUCUGGGAAGCUGAGGCACUCUGGGAAGAGGAGCUCAAAUUCCAUCCUACCCUGGCCAAUUUAGCAGCUCAGUGAGACACUGUCUCAAGGUGUGUGUGGGGCAUAUGUAGCUCAGUAUGAAGGCCCUGGAUUCAAUCCCCAGACCAAAAAACAAAACAAACAAACAAAAAGCAACAAUAACAACAACAAAAUAAAACCAAAGCAUAACAAAAGGUGCAGGAAGCCAGGUGUGGUAGCACAUGACUGUAAACCCAGCACUCAGGAGGCUGAGGCAGGAAGAUCCCUGUGAGUUCAAGGUCACAUAGCAAGACCCGUCUCCAAAAACCAAAAGGAGUCCAGAAGUCAGGAAGAAUUUGUUGUGGACUGGUACCUUGGUUAAAGACCUUACUGCUUCAGUUUCACUUGUACCAAUAAAGGGGAAACAGAAGAGAUGGGGAAUGGGGACCAGCAGCUAACAACCAGUGGCCUCCAUGUUGAGGUCACAAGGCUGCACAGUGGAAGAAAGAACCCACCCAGGGCUUUUUAUAUGAUUAUUUGAGAUGGGCUCACACUGUGCUGCCCAGGCUGGUCUCCAACUCCUGGGCUCAAGAGAUCCUCUUGCUAGAUGGGCGUGGUGGUGCACACCUCCGAGGCAGGAAGAUCACCUAGAGUUUGAGGCCAACUUGGGAUACAUAGUGAGUUUGAGGCCAGUCUGGGUUACAUAGCAAGACCCUGCAAGACCCUGAAAAAAAAGAGAGUUCCUCCUGCCUCAGCCUCCUGAGUAUCAGGGAUUAUAGGCACACACCCAGCUCUGCACUCAAGUUUUGAGUCAUUAUACUAACAAGUACCUACUAAACACUCACUGUCUGCCAGAAUCUGAGCUCUACCCAGGAGGUAGAGCAAUGAAGCAGUGAGCAAGAGA
rnacentral:lncRNA from 1 species